AAAAAGUUUUAUUCUGGCUUUUAAAUUUGUUGUUAUAUUGAUUUAUAUAUAUAUAUUUGUGUUUUAUUUAAAUCUUAAUGAUUAGUAUUAGUUUUGAUAAUAUUACAUAUUAGUUUUUGAAGAAAUUUUGAUUUGGUAAUUAUAAUUAAAUAUUGAUUAAGAAUGUGCCAGCAAUCGCGGUUAUACAUUAAAUAUAAGUAAAUUUUAUUAGUUAUGUAGUAUAUGAAUAUAAUUAUGAAUAUAAUUUUAAAAGGUUAUUAGGUGGAAUUAAUAUUUUUGGAGUUUAUUAUUUUUUUUGUAUAAUUCUAUGAAACCAAUUUAAUAAACUAGGAUUAGAUACCCUAUUAUUUUUGGUUUAAAUAGUAAUAUCUAGAGUAGUAGUAGUUAUGAUCUUGAAACUUAAAGAAUUUGGCGGUAUUUUAGUCUAUUUAGAGGAGUCUGUUCAGUAAUCGAUAGUCCGCGUUGAACCUUACUUAUUUUUUGUUUAUAUAUCGCCGUUGUUGUAAAUUUUAAUAGGAUAAUUUUCUUGAGUUUUUAUUAUAAAGAAUUUCAGGUCAAGGUGUAGUUUAUAAAUAAGUUGAAAUGGAUUACAUUAUUAUGAAUAUGUGGAGUAGAUAUUGAAAUAUAUUUAAUUAAAGUGGAUUUAAUAGUAAUUAUUUAUAUAUUAUUAUUAUGAAAAUAGCUCUGGAAUAUGUACACAUCGCCCGUCGCUCUCAUUCUUUGUAAAAUGAGAUAAGUCGUAACAUAGUAGGUGUACCGGAAGGUGUAGCUAGAUUGU
rnacentral:ncRNA from 1 species